rnacentral:lncRNA from 1 species
CGCUUUGGAAAGAUCGUAGUUGAGGAAUUUGGCAGCCCAGAACGCCCUAUGCUCAAGUUCGAGGGUAGAUGACAAGCUUUACCAUAGACCAGUUGAUACGGGGACACACCUAUUGGUGUUUUGAACGCUGUUCGGUAUGCCCAGAGUGCGUCAUUGAGCCUGAUUGACCAAUCUUUGCGUGAGGCACUGACGGUCUUGUUGGUUCUAUGUGUUGGCAGCAAUUUUGGUAAAAC